GCUUCCCAUUUGCCCCACCCUUGACUGUGCCUGGCAUGCUCACCUGCACACAGUCCCUGUGCUACCUUUUCUGGUGAGAGCCAGGUGUGUUCAGCCAAUGAGAAGCCUGAUAAAACAUGGGGAGAGAAAGAACAUCUUUUUCGAGACUUCCUGCCACUCUGGCCUAGUGCUCAUUUUAGUGGUUUCCCCAGCCUUGUCCCUGUAUAGCUAGAAGGGCCAGCUCCUUCCAGAGGCUACUCCUGAUGACUCUCAUUCAUUCCUUCAUUCAUUGUGGGGACAUCUGAGCUGGUGAACCUCAGGGGCAGGGGGUAGGCAGGAACCAUGGGAUAAACAAUGUCUUAAAUACGCUGCCAUUGACUGGGCAAAAUUUUACACUGAAACCCAAGAUAGCAUUGUCUCAAACAGAAAAUCCACAUAUUCUUUCAGAAUAAAUGGACUUCUGAAAGCACUC
rnacentral:lncRNA from 1 species